UCCUCCUUUUUUGUCUUCUAAUAUUUCUGUUCCCCUCACACUUUUAGGUGCAGUUUGGCAAAGGGACACAAUAUGUGAAACUAACAAGGAUGCUCAGAGUUAAGAAACACAAGAAAGGCUGAAGAUAAGAAGCCACUGAAAUUAGGAUUCCAGAGACAAAAAGGGCACUUCCUGUUUGCACUGCUGAAAGUGCACAUCCUCAUUGGUCCAUCCAGUCAGCCUCUAGUCUAACCAGCAGAUCCUGCAUCAUCCUUGGAAGACAUCCAAGA
rnacentral:lncRNA from 1 species